UACAGAGGUCUCAAGCGUUGUUCGGAUUCAUUGGGCGUAAAGGGCGCGUAGGUGGCGCGCUAAGUCAGGUGUGAAAUCUCGGAGCUUAACUCCGAAACUGCAUUUGAUACUGGCGUGCUUGAGGACUGGAGAGGAGACUGGAAUUCACGGUGUAGCAGUGAAAUGCGUAGAUAUCGUGAGGAACACCAGUGGCGAAGGCGGCUCAUUGGCCCAUAACUGACGCUGAGGCACGAAAGCGUGGGGAGCAAACAGG
rnacentral:rRNA from 1 species